CCCAGACACAGGUGUAGGAAGAAGUCUUUGGGGCUUUCUUUGAUCCCAUUAGGUGAAUUUCCUCCCCCCAGAUGGCCACCUGCUUCAUCAAAGCUACACACUGAGCAGCAGACCGUCUCUUUGGUCGUAAUGCCACCCACGCAACCUCCUUUAUCCCAUCCCGUUGGCCAUGUGUGUGCCUGGUGCCUGAGAAGGCCAGAAGAGGCCAUGGACCCAGGCUCUUCUCUCUUUGCUCUGUUGCUCGUUACCUCUGCCAUCCUUUACCACCCAGUAUGGCUGCCUGAGCUCCAGCCAUCACAUCCACACUACAACCAGGAGGAAAGAGGAAACAUAUCCUUUUCAUUGAAGAAUGCUCCCUGAAUGGGUGCCCCAGCCUGCUGCUGCUUGGAUCUCAUUGGCCCGAACCCAGUCAUAUGAAACAGCUUCCUAGGAGGCUGAGUAAUGCUGCCUGUGUUCUGGGAAGCCCUGGGGAGCCGAGGGUCAGUUUUCUUACCGUGGAGGAAGGGGAGAGUAAACAUCAGGAGCGCCUCACUGACCCCAUGAGAACCCCAGCCAGCGAGCCAUGUCACCGUCUCUUCUCCAACCCCGCUGCAACUCAGGUGGAUCCUUAAUUGAAGGUUUUAGCAUGACAGCUGUGUACCAGCCUUCUCAGAGCCUCCCCAGUAGCCCCAGACCUUUCAUCUGUUCGGUCCAGCCUGGAUGCCCAGCAUUUGAGAAGAGCC